rnacentral:rRNA from 1 species
CCCUUAGAUGUUCUGGGCCGCACGCGCGCUACACUGAUGCAUGCAACGAGUUCUAUCCUUGGCCGGAAGGCCUGGGUAAUCUGUGAACGUGCAUCGUGAUAGGGAUAGAUUAUUGCAAUUAUUAAUCUUGAACGAGGAAUUCCUAGUAAACGCAAGUCAUCAGCUUGCAUUGAUUACGUCCCUGCCCUUUGUACACACCGCCCGUCGCACCUACCGAUUGAAUGGUCCGGUGAAGCCUCCGGAUUGGCGCGCACCUCGGUGCCGCCGAGAAGUUGGCUAAACCUUACCAUUUAGAGGAAGGUGAAGUCGUAACA